rnacentral:rRNA from 1 species
CCUACGGGGGGCAGCAGUGAGGAAUAUUGGUCAAUGGCCGCAGGGCUGAACCAGCCAAGUCGCGUGAGGGAUGACGGUCCUAUGGAUUGUAAACCUCUUUUGUCAGGGAGCAAAGGGCGCCACGUGUGGCGCUUUGCGAGUACCUGAAGAAAAAGCAUCGGCUAACUCCGUGCCAGCAGCCGCGGUAAUACGGAGGAUGCGAGCGUUAUCCGGAUUUAUUGGGUUUAAAGGGUGCGCAGGCGGAAUGUCAAGUCAGCGGUAAAAUUUCGGGGCUCAACCCCGUCGUGCCUUUGAAACUGGCGUUCUUGAGUGAGCGAGAAGUAUGCGGAAUGCGUGGUGUAGCGGUGAAAUGCAUAGAUAUCACGCAGAACUCCGAUUGCGAAGGCAGCAUACCGGCGCUCAACUGACGCUCAUGCACGAAAGCGUGGGUAUCGAACAGGAUUAGAUACCCCAGUAGUC